GACGAACGCUGGCGGCGUGCCUAAUACAUGCAAGUCGAGCGAACGGACGAGAAGCUUGCUUCUCUGAUGUUAGCGGCGGACGGGUGAGUAACACGUGGAUAACCUACCUAUAAGACUGGGAUAACUUCGGGAAACCGGAGCUAAUACCGGAUAAUAUUUUGAACCGCAUGGUUCAAAAGUGAAAGACGGUCUUGCUGUCACUUAUAGAUGGAUCCGCGCUGCAUUAGCUAGUUGGUAAGGUAACGGCUUACCAAGGCAACGAUGCAUAGCCGACCUGAGAGGGUGAUCGGCCACACUGGAACUGAGACACGGUCCAGACUCCUACGGGAGGCAGCAGUAGGGAAUCUUCCGCAAUGGGCGAAAGCCUGACGGAGCAACGCCGCGUGAGUGAUGAAGGUCUUCGGAUCGUAAAACUCUGUUAUUAGGGAAGAACAUAUGUGUAAGUAACUGUGCACAUCUUUACGGUACCUAAUCAGAAAGCCACGGCUAACUACGUG
rnacentral:rRNA from 1 species